rnacentral:rRNA from 1 species
AGUGAACGCUGGCGGCAGGCCUAACACAUGCAAGUCGAGCGAGCGGCGGACGGGUGAGUAAUGUAUGGGAAUCUGCCCGAUAGAGGGGGAUAACUACUGGAAACGGUGGCUAAUACCGCAUACUAUAGGAUGAGCCCAUAUGGGAUUAGCUAGUUGGUGGGGUAAAGGCUCACCAAGGCGACGAUCUCUAGCUGGUCUGAGAGGAUGAUCAGCCACACUGGGACUGAGACACGGCCCAGACUCCUACGGGAGGCAGCAGUGGGGAAUUGUGCACAAUGGGCGCAAGCCUGAUCCAGCCAUGCCGCGUGUAUGACGAAGGCCUUAGGGUUGUAAAGUACUUUUUGCGGGGAAGCGUUAUCCGCAGAAGAAGCACCGGCUAACUCCGUGCCAGCAGCCGCGGUAAUAC